UGGGGAAUUUUGGACAAUGGGCGAAAGCCUGAUCCAGCAAUGCCGCGUGUGUGAAGAAGGCCUUCGGGUUGUAAAGCACUUUUGUCCGGAAAGAAAUCCUUGGCUCUAAUACAGUCGGGGGAUGACGGUACCGGAAGAAUAAGCACCGGCUAACUACGUGCCAGCAGCCGCGGUAAUACGUAGGGUGCAAGCGUUAAUCGGAAUUACUGGGCGUAAAGCGUGCGCAGGCGGUUUGCUAAGACCGAUGUGAAAUCCCCGGGCUCAACCUGGGAACUGCAUUGGUGACUGGCAGGCUAGAGUAUGGCAGAGGGGGGUAGAAUUCCACGUGUAGCAGUGAAAUGCGUAGAGAUGUGGAGGAAUACCGAUGGCGAAGGCAGCCCCCUGGGCCAAUACUGACGCUCAUGCACGAAAGCGUGGGGGAGCAAACAGGAUUAGAUACCCUGGUAGUCCCACGCCCUAAAACCGAUGUCAACUAGUUGUUGGGGAUUCAUUUCCUUAGUAACGUAGCUAACGCGUGAAGUUGACC
rnacentral:rRNA from 1 species